rnacentral:tRNA from 1 species
UCCCUGGUGGUCCAGUGGUUAAGACUUUGUCUUUCAGUGUAGGGGACUCAGGUUUGAUCCCUGACCAGGGAG